AAAUGAGUUUAUAUCAAGUCAGUUUUUUGUUUCAGAAAAUGUUUGCAGGAUUCUUUUGGACCUUCCAACUGUUGCUGGUUCUGAACCGGGAUGAAUCUUUGACUGGACUCGCUUCACGUUCAGCUCCUGCAGUGAAAUCAGAUGUUUCAGGCGUCACCAGAUUUCAGUUUUAAUCUGACAGAAACCCGAGACCCGGAUCGCUGCAGUCGGCCCGGUUCUGAGCAGGAAUGCAGGGAGCCGUCGGAGCGUGACGAAGCAGCGGACUGGGUCAGGAGGGUCGGUCCCGGCGGGUCUGAGCAGGUCCAGGAGCCGCCGCCGGAUCGCGGGCGAUGACGGCAGGCAGUUCUGCUGUUUGCUCAGCCAAAGAAUCUGUUCUGUCAACAGAGAGCUGAUGGGGGGGUCGCGGCCCCGGGGGCCAGGCCCCUGGGAGGCUCCUGGGAGGUCAGACCCCUGGGAGGCUGGGCUCCUGGGAGGGCAGGACUGGGGCCCCCGCAUCAACCGCAAAUAAAGGUGAAGCAGCUGAUAGGACGAACAAAGGCUGCAGUUUAUGACAGGAAACCAUGAAGAGCUGCAAACAGCCGGGGACCUCACCCUGAGAGUGUGCACGUGAGAGUGUGCACGUGAGAGUGUGCACGUGAGCGUGUGCACGUGCCAGCAGCCCUCUGGUGGGCAGAUGAACUUUAUGGGUCAAGGUUAACAAGAAGGAUUUAACUGUAGGCUGGAUCCUGAUUUACUGCAAACACCAGUUAUAUUUUAUCAGAGUGAAGAGACCAGAACCAGAACCAGAACCAGAACCAGAAUCAGAACCGCUCUGCAGCUGGCUGCUGUUUCAGCAUUAAUGACUGAAACUGCAGCUUCAGCGUUCGCCACAGAACAGAGCAGAAAACCAAAUUCAGACAUGAAAUGUUCUUCAGGUCAAGCAGAACGCUUCUCUUCCUGUUGGGAUCAAACAGCAACAGGAAGCAGAACUCGGGUCGAGCAGAACCUCCAGGAUAAAAACAAACCCAACAGCUGAAACGUGAUCCGACUGAGAGGAAACCGGGACAUGAGACACCUGAAGGCAGAAGGUCCUAUUUAAAGCAAGGGAGGGAAAACCUCUCCAGCCCACAGGAAGGAGUCGUUUCCAACAAAAACAGUUUCAGUUCCUCAGACGGAUCAGGAAGCCCGCUCAGAUCAGAACCAGAACCUCUGAGGAGGUCCGGAAGAAACGGCACCAGGUCUGAAACCAGGAAUGAAACGGCAUCAGGUCUGAAACCAGGCAUGAAACGGCACCAGGAGGAAACCUGACGGCUCCUGAUUGACCUCCAGUAAUUGAAGCUCUUGGUCGUUUUUACAGAAACAGGUCAGAACCGGAUCAGAACCGGUCGGGUCAGAACCGGUUUGACAUCAGGUGGUGCAGGUUGUCAGAUCGGCGGAGCGUCCAGAGAGAAUCUGAUCGUCACACGUUAACAGGACGAGGUCCGGUCCACAUGGCAACACCCAGAGAACUUGGAGCAGAACCCUGGAUCAUUCAGGUCAAAGGUCACAUGCAAUCCAGUCAGAGAGACGCCUGUCCUGCUACAAACUGUGAAAGAUGAAGAUGAGGAUGAGGAUGAGGUCACCUCCAGAUUCUGUUUGAUAAACAGACCAGCAGGCGCUCUGAUUGGACGGGAAACAGCAGCAACGAUUCAGCAGCAACGGUUCAGCAGCAACGAUUCA